AUUGAACGCUGGCGGCACGCCUAACACAUGCAAGUCGAGCGGCAGCGCGAUAUGUAGCAAUAUAUAUUGGCGGCGAGCGGCGGACGGGUGAGGAACACGUAGGAACCUACCCUCGAGUGGGGGAUAACCAAGGGAAACUUUGGCUAAUACCGCAUGAUUUCGAGAGAGCAAAGCUGCCGCAAGGUGGCGCUCGAGGAGGGGCCGGCGUCCGAUUAGCUAGUUGGUGAGGUAAGAGCUCACCAAGGCGAUGAUCGGUAACUGGUCUGAGAGGACGACCAGUCACACUGGGACUGAGACACGGCCCAGACUCCUACGGGAGGCAGCAGUGGGGAAUAUUGGACAAUGGGGGCAACCCUGAUCCAGCGAUGCCGCGUGAGUGAAGAAGGCCUUCGGGUCGUAAAGCUCUUUAGGUUGGGAAGAAGGGUGAUGGAGGAAAUGCUAUCACUUUGACGGUACCGACAGAAUAAGCACCGGCAAACUCUGUGCCAGCCGCCGCCGUAAAAC
rnacentral:rRNA from 1 species